rnacentral:ncRNA from 1 species
UAAAAAACAGAGAACAGAAGAGUAGUUAUUAGCACGUUGUUCAGAGAGUCACCGGGGCUGGAAAGGUGACGGCGGGUUAAAGACGAACCACAUCUGUGAGUUGAAUGGCUGAAUAAAGUAAGCUGUUACGGUUGGCCUCGUUAGCGGCGGAGUUUAGUGAUAAACUCGCUGAGUUCAAUUGUGCGAGCAAUUGAUAAAGAUGAGGUGGCACCGCGAUGAAAUCGUCCUCUUA